rnacentral:rRNA from 1 species
UACGUAGGGGGCGAGCGUUGUCCGGAAUUACUGGGCGUAAAGCGCGUGUAGGCGGUCUGAAUAGUCUGCUGUGAAAGCGCCUGGCUUAACCGGGCGAGGUCGGCGGAAACUCUCAGACUGGAGGCCGGUAGAGGGGGGUGGAAUUCCCGGUGUAGUGGUGAAAUGCGUAGAGAUCGGGAGGAACACCUGUGGCGAAGGCGGCCCCCUGGGCCGCGCCUGACGCUGAGACGCGAAGGCUAGGGGAGCGAACGGG